rfam:Corynebacterium marinum DSM 44953, complete genome.
UGAGUCGGCCGGGUGAUCGCGGCCCCCUCACCACCCCGGGACCGGGGCAGGAGGGGGUCGAGGAAAGUCCGGACUCCACCGAGCACGGUGGUUGCUAACGGCAACCCGGGGUGACCCGCGGGCAAGUGCAACAGAAAGUAGACCGCCAGGCCGCUCCGGCGGCCGGGUAAGGGUGAAAGGGUGCGGUAAGAGCGCACCGGCGGGGCAGGUGACUGUCCCGGCCAGGUAAACCCCACCGGGAGCAAGGCAUCAUGGCCUGCCACGCCGCAGGCCGGAUCGGACGUUCGAGGGCUGCUCGCCCGAGUCCGAAGGUAGCUGCUUGAGGCGGUCAGCGAUGGCCCGCCCAGAUGGAUGAUCACCGCCCCGUCAAGGGGUACAGAAUCCGGCUUACAGGCCGACUCAUUCG